CCUCACUCAUCUUGUUUCAUCACAGAAAAUGUCUAUAAGGAGAUUUUACCACAUGUAGCUAGGUGAUACAGGAAAUCUAAGAGGGGCUGAUGAAACGAUUAAAUUUGCCCAGCAUAUGGAGGUGCGAUUGACUCCAUCAGCAUUACAGAGGUUUCUAGCCUUGCUCAACUACCACAAGCGGCCAGCCCCACUCUCUCUCCUUGCUCUCAAGUAUGCUCCACCACCAUUAAAACCUUCAGUGUGUAAACCGUCUAAGUUUAAGUAUAAAUUUUAAUAAUAAAAAUUUAUGAAAU